GGGUAUGAUCAUACCCUCACUAAUGCACUGAUCCCAUCAGAACUCCGCAGUUAAGCGUGCCUGGGCGAUAGUAGUACUAGGAUGGGUGACCUCUGGGAAAUUCCUCGUGUUGCACCCC
rnacentral:rRNA from 1 species